GCACUCAGUACUCAUGGCUGAUCAAGGGAAGUGAGCUCAUCUCACCUUGACUCACAGCGAUGACAGGUUCAAGCCCCUGCAUGUGGGCCCGUUCCUCAGAGGAUGUUUGCAAUGGGGGUGGGGGUUGCCAUGGUGAUGCCCAGUCAACAGAAUGGAGAAAAGAGAAAUUUGGUUUGAAAUGAAAUUUGAGUCUUGAGAGAGGGCUGAUAUGAAGGAGAAUCAAACAAGCCACAUGGGAGCAUCUGAAGGCCUGGAGAUAAGGGCCUGUUGCAUGGCUGUGAAAAUUUGGCCUUUAAAAUAACUAGGCAUGGGCCAGAAAUCACAGCCGGCGGCUGCGACCACCCAAGGCAGGAGAUCCAGCGGGGGACUAUGGAGCUCAGUGGAGCUGCGGCCUGGGAGAAGCCCACCCAAGAGAACCAUGUAACUAGAAACCAUCACAUUCGGCUUCGUGUGAGGGAGAAGCAGGUGUUUCAUUGCACGCAGUUACUGAGAUCUGGGGUUGUUUGUUAUUGCAGCAAGGACCCACCCUAACACACGAGGUGUUAUAUGCAUUUUACAGAUUGCCAAGAUGGUACAGACAGCAGAAGUGGCAAAACAACACUUAAACUCAAACCUGCCCAACUUCAAAGUCCACGCCCUUCCCUGGGCUUCAGACUGCCGUCUUUGAUGCUAUCUUUCAUUGAGAUGUUGUUUGCAUUAAAUGGGGGAUCUUGCGGCACACGGUGGACCUUGCCCAGCACCCACUCUUCCUAGGGCCAGCCUUACUCUGUGGGGUCAGCCUUUGACCGUCUGGGCCAUGAAGGUGGCUGAUGAGGCCCCUUCGACAGCCAAGUUGGGGCACAAUCUCCUCCGGAUGUUGUUAUUCCUUCACAGUCUCAUCGCAGGCGGGGAGGAAGUCAGAGGGCUGAUUUAGAGGACAGAGAUACAAACAGAGUGAGCAGAGGAUGUUUGGCUGCAGUUGCUCCAGAGUUUCAAGGGAGAAAACACAAGCAUUGCUGAGCGGCCAUUAGGGGCUUGCACGCUCAGCUGGGCACAUGUCCACACCGAGGCAUCACGUGCGGUCUGAGCUGAGCUCUCAUCUCUGGGUUUCAGGACUUUCAGCACAGUCCUGGCCCUUCACGUUUAGUCUGGGUGAUCAGGGAUGUAAACCAGCAAUUGCAAGGUGGUGAAGCACCACCGUGGAAGGGCACCAGCCGGGCCCUGGGGUCACAGAAGUGCCCCAGGAAGUGUGGCCGUUAAGCCUGGUGAGAGGAGAGCGAGCCGGGAGGACGGUGAGAGACAGGCAUGACGGGGCGGUGAGUGUGACUGCUGCUGAGCAUGUCUGAGACGGCAGGCAGUCACCAAAGGCUUGUAAGCAGAGGCAACACCCUGACUUGUGGUUUGGAGAGAUCAUGGUGACUGCCGUGCAGGGACGGAAUGGAGGCUGCUCCAGUGACUCUGGCCGUGGGCAGUGGUGGGCGGGUGAGGGGACAGAGGAAAGUGGAUGGAGUUGCUGCCCCCACAACCCUGCUGAGAAAGUGCCCACGGGACCUGGCGGGGUGUGAGUCACACUUGGGCUGCUCUGCCUGGCUCUGCACCUAUUUCGUGAGCUGGAAGGGACAGCCUGAGCCCCGUCCCUUGGAUGGACAUCAAUGCAGGAGUAAGGGUCUGUCUCUGAAGCUCUCUGAGCAACGGAAGGGAAGGUGCCCACUGGGCUCAAUGCAGAGAUAUUGGGGCUGAUGUGGCAGGAGGGGUGGGUGUGCAGGCCCGGCGGGGAAGGAGACUUCCAAACAGACGGGCUGCCCCACGGGGAAUCUGGCUGGGGCCAGUCAUUCUCAGAGUCAAACCAUCUUCAUUCAACUCCGAGGCUGCCCCAGGCCAGUAGCGUCCUUCCUGAGAGCGCUUCCUGCGAGAUUUAUGAGGCAGGGGCCAGGCCUGGAUCGUAGAAAGCUAGAGAAUGCCUUGGCUGCCCAGGGAAGUCUGGAAUUUCUUCCAAACCAAGCUUCCAGACGUCCCUCUGGACUCCUCUGUCUGAGAAUGGGCACUUUAAAGGCCCAGGAGAGAACUCCCAUGACACCGUUUUCCAACCUCCCAUCUCCCCUCCCCGGCAGCUCCCCAUUUCCGGCAUCUCGGCUUGGCAGGACCCCUCCAGGACCUCACUCCUCUGAGACGCACUGCAGACCUCACAGGUGACAGCAGCGUUUUGCUGACUCAGAGGCAACUACCACGAUGACCCUCCAGCCCGUGUCCAGACCUGGGGCAGCGACUUGGACAGGGGGCUGCAGAAGUGGGUCUGUGAGGGGGACCUGACGGGGGGCUGCAGAAGUGGGUCUGUGAGGCGGACCUGGGGGGGCAGCCCUGGGGUGGGCUCACUGGGGUUCACUCCACCUCGAAGACUUCAAUUCCAGCUCUGGCUGGUUUUGUUGGAUUAGGAACACACAGCCAGCCAAAUCUUGGUUACUAGGGUGCCAGAGAUCACGUGGAGAAAUGAAAUAAAGAGAGAACCCCCAAACGGUGGUGCUGCCAUGCAUUGGA
rnacentral:lncRNA from 1 species